rnacentral:rRNA from 1 species
UACGAAGGGGGCUAGCGUUGCUCGGAAUCACUGGGCGUAAAGCGCACGUAGGCGGGUCGUUAAGUCGGGGGUGAAAUCCUGGAGCUCAACUCCAGAACUGCCUUCGAUACUGGCGACCUUGAGUCCGGGAGAGGUGAGUGGAACUCCGAGUGUAGAGGUGAAAUUCGUAGAUAUUCGCAAGAACACCAGUGGCGAAGGCGGCUCACUGGCCCGGUACUGACGCUGAGGUGCGAAAGCGUGGGGGAGCAAACAGG